rnacentral:rRNA from 1 species
UACGUAGGGUGCAAGCGUUGUCCGGAAUUAUUGGGCGUAAAGAGCUCGUAGGCGGUUUGUCGCGUCGAAUGUGAAAACCCCGGGGCUCAACCCCGGGCCUGCAUUCGAUACGGGCAGACUAGAGUUCGGUAGGGGAGUCUGGAAUUCCUGGUGUAGCGGUGAAAUGCGCAGAUAUCAGGAGGAACACCGGUGGCGAAGGCGGGACUCUGGGCCGAUACUGACGCUGAGGAGCGAAAGCGUGGGGAGCAAACAGG